AUAAAUUAAAAAAAAUAAAAUUGGCUAAAUUGAAUAUCUUUGUAACAAUAAUAAGGAUUUUAGUUUUAUAUUAUUUUUUAGCAGACAAAUGGGAAAAUUUCUUUUAACGAGGGCGAUAGAACAAGGAGAAUACAAACUGAAUCCAUAUGUUGUAAUUUUAUUAUAGCUGCCGCUUGUUGACGAAAAUCCAAGCUGCUUUGAAUUCAACCAAGAAUCUGAAGUCUGCACUGCCUGUUGUUGACCAACCACUGUGGCAGGCGGUUGGCAAGAUUAGCAGCCAAAUCUUUCAUCCUAAAAUACUGGUCAGUCCAAAUUGAUCAUUUUAAUUUUUAUAAAUCAUGCUUUGCCUCAGCAAAAUCUGCUUGUACCAUAUGCUCAACCAGGUUGUACAUUACCGGAAACCCCUUCUGCACAUUUGGAAGACGACAAAAAAGCCAUCUUUACUUCACCCAUGCACCACAAUUUUAAGCAUAAAUAAACAGAGACACUUACCAGAGAGGCAAACACACCCAAAAAAACAGAGCUUUCCUUGCAAAAGAAUUCAAUGGCUAUGGCCACUCACUUGUACACCUCUUAUUCUCCAAUCACCUCCAAGACCAUCACCACUAAUUACAACAGCAACAAGGCUCUUUCUGUCCCUUUACAUAAAUCGAUAGCCUCGCCUUCUCUUUCUCUGAGAACAACGGCCAGACUUUCCAUAUCAGCAGCUGCAGGAACUACUGCUUUGCAAGUGGAUGGACCCCCCACGUCUAGUAAAGGACCAAAGUCUUUGCCUUUUAGAGUGGGUCAUGGGUUCGAUCUCCACCGUUUAGAGCCUGGGUACCCUUUGAUCAUUGGUGGGAUUAAUAUCCCGCAUGAAAGAGGCUGUGAGGCUCACUCUGAUGGAGAUGUGUUAUUGCAUUGUGUAGUCGAUGCAUUAUUAGGUGCAUUGGGGCUGCCUGAUAUUGGGCAGAUAUUCCCAGAUUCUGAUCCCAAGUGGAAGGGAGCUCCAUCAUCUGUUUUUAUUAAAGAAGCUGUAAGACUCAUGCAUGAGGCUGGCUAUGAUAUUGGAAACUUGGAUGCCACCUUAAUUCUUCAAAGACCAAAACUGAGCCCCCACAAGGAGGUUAUCAGGGACAAUUUGUGUCAGCUGCUCGGAGCAGAUCCUUCUGUAAUAAAUCUGAAGGCAAAAACUCAUGAGAAGGUUGACAGCUUAGGUGAAAAUAGAAGUAUUGCAGCUCAUACAGUGGUUCUUCUCAUGAAGAAGUAAAGUAGUUCUUUAAAAACUAAAAAAUUUGGAGUUAGCCAUUGUACUUGGUUAGCGUUGUUGUCACUGUUACAGAGAUGAACAUAUGCUGGUUCUUUUGAAGACCCAUCUCACACUAGAACAAUUUCAUGAUGCAAGUUGACUUAAUGUCAGUUUCUACCACACUUGAAAGAAUAGUAUCUUGUCCCUGAUAUGUUGUUAUGAUGCCUGUAUUUAUAAGUCCAUUUUAUUUGGGGCAUUUGUCUUGGAAUUAUGUACAAUAAACAUCUGAAAACGAAGCAUUGUUCUUGAGAAGAUAGUUCUUGGACAAUUUGUUGUUUUCAGGACAGUUAUCCUCGCUAUCUUUUCUCGGUAAAAAGAAGGCAGCAAGUGGUUGAUGCGAUGAUCCUGUAUUGAGAAUUUAUCCCUGCUUUCAUAGUCCUCGAAAAAUUUGACGCUUUCACGAG
rnacentral:misc_RNA from 1 species